CCCAAAGAAAGCAAGCCUGAAAGAAACAUCCUUAGCCUGCGUAUUAAAUGCACAGAUAAUUGCCUGUUUUAUACUAAAUGCACUUUUUCACAACAAUGGAAAAAAUUUUGAACUGUUUCCUGAUCUCUAUCCUUUCUUCCUCAUGUAAAAUAGGUAAAAACCUCUAAACGAUCCUUUCUCAGACACGUCUCCUGAAUCUGGAUUAUCACCAUGUCACCCGGGGAAGCCUCUGGUCCUAAUCGGCUUGGACUCUAAGCAAGCGUCCUGACUGCUCUCCUGACACCUGCCGCUCCCAGGCCCGGCCACUCGCCGUCUCAGCGCCCCCUCGCGGCCCUUCCCAACCCACUCGCCUCAGGACCUCUCAGGCCUCCUGGCUCCGCCGCAGACCCUCCACGUCCCAGAUCGCGCGCAGGCCCACUCGGGUUCCAGCCGUUGCCUGGGAAAGCGAAGGGCCAGCCCGGGCGGUUCUUCCCCAGGCCCUCCGGGGCGUCCCGGGCCGUACCGGCCUGGCCCAAUGGCCCUGGGGAAGGCGUUGACCCAGGGACCACCGUCCAAGCGGCUUCCCCCGGCGCGGCGCCACGUCCCCGCCAGCCCGGGGUGGCAGUUCGGAAAGCCUGUUAUAUGUCGUCUUCCACGUCCAUUUUCACACCGACAAUGGUGACGCUAAGGAACUUAUACCUCGGCUGAGCCCCGCCGCCCACUCCCCAAGUACGGGAACUGCUCACAGGCCUGGGUUCGGCGAGGGGCCGAGCUUCCCUCUCUGCCCUUGGGCAGGUGAGCCAGAGGCUGGCACGCGGGCCUGUGCGUCCCGACAGCCCUGGCCCCGCCGCCUCUGUACUAGAGGAGCGCCUGGAGGGCGCCGCUGCCUCUGUCUCCCCACGUGCCCACUUGCCUCUAGGAACUGCAAGAGACUAUCUCAAGGAAGUGGGCUUCCAGAUUAAAGAACUUGUGUAAAGCACAAAAAAAAUGUGCCUCUUUCUCACCUAUAAUCUUCAUCUCAAUGAAUGGCACAUCAUUAGACAAGUCACCUAACCCAGAAGCCUAGAAAUUACAGGAGAUACUUGAUUCCCAGUACCUAUUGCAAUGGUAGUGGACUCUGAAUAAACGGUUGCUGAAUGAUUUGCAGAACAGCAGAAUGGAAGCUGCAAAAUGGGAUGGAGGUACAGAAUGCUGCCUGGGAAGCAGGAAAAGCAAUAUACAAGAGGAGGGGGAAAGAUUUUUUUUUAACUACAUGAGUUUGAAGAGUGGAUGGAAUCAAGAAAUGAAAAACACAAAAUGGAUGGAAUCAAGAAAUGAAAAUUACAAAAUAUAAAAAUAAAAAAUACUAUUCUGAAAUGCCAAUUUUAUGUACAAAUGAUUAAUCUAUGUCCAAAAGAUGGAGAAAAUACUUUACCUUACCUUAUA